rnacentral:rRNA from 1 species
UACGUAGGGUGCAAGCGUUGUCCGGAAUUAUUGGGCGUAAAGCGCACGUAGGCGGAUGUGUCAGUCAGGGGUGAAAUCCCGGGGCUCAACCUCGGAACUGCCUUUGAUACAGCACGUCUCGAGUCCGGAAGAGGUGGGUGGAAUUCCUAGUGUAGAGGUGAAAUUCGUAGAUAUUAGGAAGAACACCGGUGGCGAAGGCGGCCCACUGGUCCGGUACUGACGCUGAGGUGCGAAAGCGUGGGGAGCAAACAGG